UAGAGAGAGACAUGCGCGCAUAUCAAUAAGCGGAGGAAAAGAAACUAACAAGGAUUCCCUUAGUAACGGCGAGUGAAGCGGGAAGAGCUCAAAUUUGAAAUCUUCAAGGUUUUACCUUGACGAAUUGUAGUUUAAAGAAGUGUUUUCUGCUGAAGUUUUGGUAAAAGUUCUUUGGAAUAGGACAUCAUAGAGGGUGAGAAUCCCGUAUUUGACCAUUAUUUUCAGCUUUGUGAUACACUUUCAAAGAGUCGGAUUGUUUAGGAAUGCAGUCCAAAAUGGGUGGUAAAUUUCAUCUAAAGCUAAAUAUUGGCGAGAGACCGAUAGCGAACAAGUACCGUGAGGGAAAGAUGAAAAGAACUUUGAAAAGAGAGUUAAACAGUACGUGAAAUUGUCAAAAGGGAAGCGUUUGACACCAGUGUUGUUUUCUCGAAAAUCAAUUAAAAAUGGCUCGAUUUUGUAUUGCUGAGACCUUAAAAGCUCACUGUACAUUUUUCGUGUCUUUUUUAAUGCACUUUUCGUUUAACAAGUCAACAUCAGUUUCUUUUGUUGUAAAAAGGGUCAUUGGAAGGUGGCUUUCUUUUCGGAGAAAGUGUUUAUAGCCUUUGGCCUCUGCAAUCGAAGAGACUGAGGUCUGCAGCGUAGACUCUUCGGGGUUAGAUACAUUUGUGCUAAGUUAUAGCUUUUUAUAGACAACUUGUUGACUAUAAUUAGUCUUGUAGCUUACUCGCUUAUGCUAUUUUACCUACGCUUAGGAUGUUGAGUCGUAGAGCACGCAG
rnacentral:rRNA from 1 species